rnacentral:rRNA from 1 species
AAGCUCAAUUUGAAUCUGGCUCUUUCAGAGUCCGAGUUGUAAUUUGAAGAAGGUAUCUUUGGGUCUGGCUCUUGUCUAUGUUUCUUGGAACAGAACGUCACAGAGGGUGAGAAUCCCGUGCGAUGAGAUGAUCCAGGCCUAUGUAAAGUUCCUUCGAAGAGUCGAGUUGUUUGGGAAUGCAGCUCUAAGUGGGUGGUAAAUUCCAUCUAAAGCUAAAUAUUGGCGAGAGACCGAUAGCGAACAAGA